rnacentral:rRNA from 1 species
CCUACGGGAGGCAGCAGUGAGGAAUAUUGGUCAAUGGGCGCGAGCCUGAACCAGCCAAGUCGCGUGAAGGAUGACUGCCCUACGGGUUGUAAACUUCUUUUAUAAAGGAAUAAAGUGAGGCACGUGUGCCUUUUUGUAUUGACUUUAUGAACAAGGAUCGGCUAACCCCGUGCCAGCAGCCGCGGUAAUACGGAGGAUCCGAGCGUUAUCCGGAUUUAUUGGGUUUAAAGGGAUCGUAGUUGGGUUGUUAAGUCAGUUGUGAAAGUUUGCGGCUCAACCGGAGAAUUGCAAUUGAUACUGGCAAUCUGGAGUGUGGUUGAGGUUAGUGGAAUUCUUGGUGUAGGAGUGAAAUGCGUAGAUAUCACGAAGAACACCAGUUGCGAAGGCGACUUACUAAAAUGCCACUGACAUUGAUGCGCGAAAGUGUGGGUAGCAAACAGGAUUAGAUACCCUUGUAGUC